rnacentral:rRNA from 1 species
UUUGCCUACGGGGCGCAGCAGUGGGGAAUAUUGCACAAUGGGGGGAACCCUGAUGCAGCGACGCCGCGUGGAUGAAGAAGUCAUUCGUGACGUAAAGCCCUAUCAGCAGGGAAGAAAAUGACGGUACCUGACUAAGAAGCCCCGGCUAACUACGUGCCAGCAGCCGCGGUAAUAUGUAGGUGGCAAGCGUUGUCCGGAUUUACUAGGUGUAAAGGGCGUGCAGCCGGGCUGACAAGUCAGAUGUGAAAUCCCGCGGCUCAACCGCGGAACUGCAUUUGAAACUGUCAGUCUU